UAGGUGAAUGGGGGAAAAGAAGAGACAGCAACAAAAAUGGAUGGUGGGUGAUUAGAACCCUAGCCAACCAGCACAGCAUUAUGUGGUAGUGAGGAGGCCAUGAUCCUCUUCAUCAAAAUGAAAGUGCCACAAGAUUACUCCACGGUACUCAGUCGCUGCCGUGAGAUCAUGGCCCCACCAUCUUGAACGGAUCAGCAACUUUUAAUAGAGGGACGUAUUGUAAGUGAGAGGUUUGAAAUUCGAAGGCCAUUUCAAUUCACUCCAAUGCUAUUCCACAAUAUAGAUAUAUCGGUGUAUAAACUUUAGUUCUGUGCUGAAUUGAUGAAUGCUUCGGUGUUGCUUUGAAAAUAAGUGUUUAUCUUCGUUUUUUGAAUGAAACAAUGUUGGUUUUGCUUUGAGAUUGUGGCAAGUGAGUGUAGUUGAAUGUAUGUUACUACUUACUUGCUGGUGCGAGAUGCAUGUUCUUUGUUUUAAGCUCAAUAAUUUUGCUGAACCUCUGAAUGGUGACUGAAAAUAGCACGGAAUCUGUUUGAAGAAAGAGUUGAGAUA